UAUUAGCUCAGUUGGUAGAGCAGCGGACUCUUAAUCCGAAGGUCCAGGGUUCGACCCCCUG
rnacentral:tRNA from 2 species